GUGGUAUUUUUGCUUCUGGUUGCAGCUUUUUCUUUUCUGCCUAAAGAAGUUCCUUUAGUAUUUGUUGUGAAGCUGGUUUACUGUUGCUGAAUUCUCUUAGCUUUUGCUUAUCAAUGAAACUUUUGAUUUCUCUUUCAAAUCUGAAUGGUAGCCUUGCUGUGUAAAGUAAUCUUGGUUGGAGUUUUUUUCGUUUCAUCACAUUAAGUAUACCAUGCCACUCCCUUCUGGCCUGCAGAGUUUCUGCUGAAAAGUCUGCUGAUAACCUUAUUGGGUUUCCCUUGUAUGUUAUUUGUUUCUUUUCCCUAGCUGCUUUCAAUAUUCUCUGUCUUUAAUUUUGGUCAGUUUGAUUAAUAUGUGUCUUGUGGUGUUCCUCCUUGGGUUUAUUUUAUAUGGGACUUGUUGUGCUUCCUGGAUUUGAGUGAAUGGUUCCUUUCCCAUGUUAGGGAAGUUUUCGGCUAUUAUCUCUUAGAAUAUUUUUUCUGUCCCCUUCUCUCUCUCUUCUCCUUCUGGCACCCCUAUAAUAUGGAUGUUGGCAUGUUUAACAUUGUCCCAGAGUUCUUUGAGAUUCUCUUCAUUUGUUUUCAAUCUUUUUUCUCUUUUCUGUUCCACAUCCAUAAUUUCUACUAAUCUGUCCUCUACCUCACUUAUUUGUUCUUCUGCCUCCUGUGCUCUGUUAUUAGCUGCUAGUGAAUUUUUUAUUUCAGUUAUUGUAUUUUGCAUCACUUAAGUUUUGUAUUGUUUAUCUCUUUGCUCAAUUUUUCCUACACAUUAUCCAUCUUUGCUUCCAGUUUAUUUCCAAUAUCUUGCAUCAUCUUCAGCAUCAACAGUCUAAAGUCUUUCCUGGAGGCUGAGAAUCUCCAGAUCACUUAGCCGUUUUUCUGGGGCUUUUUCUUUCUUAUCUGAGUUAUAGUUCUCUGCCUUUUCAUUUUUGUAGGUUUUUGGUGUGGUGAUGUUUUUGGAGACAAUAGAAUUGUAGCCUCUCUUACUUCUGUUGUCUUCUGCUUUGUGGCUGAAGUUGGUACAGGGGCUUGCUGUGGGCUUCCUGAUGGGAGGGACUGGUGCCUGCCCACUGGUAGGUGGAGCUGAUUCCUAUACCUCUGGUGGGUGGGGCUUUGUCUCUGGAUGAGAUUAGAGGCAGCUGUGUGCCUGGGGGGUUUUUAGGCAGGCUGUUUACUGAUGGGUGGUGCUGUGAUCCCACCUAGAUUGUUGUUUGACCUGGGGCUUCUCAGUGCUGAUGGGUGGGGCCAGAUUUUCCCAAAAUGGCCACCUCCAGAGAAAUGCAGGCUGAUGAAUAUUCCCAAGAGCUUUGCCUCCAAUACCCUUCCCCCACAACAAGUCACAUUCAGCCCCUGUUUUCCCAGGAGAUCCACCAAGAAUUACAGUCAGGUCCAACCCAGAUUCCUAUGGAGUCUUUGCUUUGCCCUGGGGCCCAGUGCCUGUGUAAGUCUAUGUGUGCCUUUCAAGAAUGGGGUCUCCAUUUCCCCCAGUCCUGUGGAACUCCUGGGCACAAGCCCCACUGGCCUUCAAUGCCAGAUGCUCCGGGGGCUCUUUCUCCUAGUGUCUGUUCCCCAGGCAUGGGGAUUUGACUUGGGGCCCAGAACUCUCACUCCUGUAGGUGAGUAUCUGUGAUACAGUAAUUUUCCAUUCUGUGGGGCUUCCCCCUGGAUGUAUGGGGUUGCUUAUAUCACGUACUCACCCCUCCUACCUCUUGAUGUUGCCUCCUCUUUGUCUUAUGGAGUAGGAUAUCUUUUUGAAAGCUUCCAGUCCAUUUGGUUGAAACUUGCUCAGCAUUUGGUUGUAAUUUUGUUGUUUUUAUGACAGAAGUUGAACUCCAGUCCUUCUAUUCCAUCUUAAUCCCAUCUCUACUUGGUAUUGUUUGAUAAAUAAUAACAUUGUUUGAGAGCAGAUGAAUAGUUACCACAUAUUUUUUCUAGGUGCUAGGAUCUGUGUUGUGUUUUAUACAUGUCAUUUCAUCUUGUUAGAAUUCUAUAAGGUAUUAUUAUCCUCAUUUUAUAAGUGAGAAAUUUGAAAGUGAAAAUACUCUUGCUUUCUGAUAAAAUAUUAACUUUAAUAUAUUUAAAUUAAUUAAUCUUUUAUUUAUAAACAAUGCUAUAUGUGUCUUCUUUAGGAAUUCUUUCCCUAUUAUAAGGUCUAAGAUAUAUUCAUCUAAAUUUUCUUCUAAAAGUUUUAAUGUUUUGUUUUUGAUAUGUAUGGCUUUAAUUCAUCUAGAGUUGACUUUUAAGUAUGGGAUCAUUUUGGGAUUCCCUUUUAUCUUAUUCCAUAUGGAAACUUAUUUUAUUUUUUAGCUCUAUUUAGUUGAGUUUCUUUUUUCCCCACUGAUAUGUCUUGCUAACUUUUACACACAUCGUGAUCCACAUAUGUAUUCACAGAAUGAGGUAUUUCUCAUACAGCAGUUUAAAAUAUAUCACCUAUAUGUACCAAUAUGAAUGAAUUGUUGCCCUAUGAUGGAUUAAUGAUGAAGAUGUGUCAUGAACCAAGGAUUGUGAUGAACUGAGUGCUGUCUGUCCAUUUAAGAUCCCUGGGGAAACAAACAAACAAACCAACUGAGGGCUAAAAGGAGUUAGAUGAUUUGCUCAAGCUCACUUGGCUAUGAAAGUGAUAGAACUGGAACUCAAAAAUAGUUCAUCCAACUCCAAAUGCCAAGCUUUUCCAAUAGACAGUGUGGUACAGUCAAUUCUCAACCCUGAUAGAAAUAUAUCAUUCCUUGUUGAGAUAUCAUCACUCAUCAUCUCUUAUUCCAAUUAUUUUAGCACUCGAGAUACGUCUAUUAUUCCUACUGGUAAACUGAAUACCAUACAAAGUUAGAGGGCUGUAGAUCUUGCUCCUUUCCUGGAUCCCUGAGGUCUCAAACCCUUAGUUAUCCCUGCCCUCCCCUGCAUAUUCUACCUUCAUCUCAUCUAGACUCCUUUCCAUUAGUGAAUGGGUUUGAAUGCUUGAGUUUGCUUGGAUGUGCUUGCAUAUUUGCAUCUUGACUGAAGAGGCACAGAACCCCCUCUGACCUCUCCCACAUCUCUCCAUGCUUGCUAUGUCCUGUCUUAAUUCUCAGCUAUUUGUAUCCCUUUACACAGAAAGCUCUGUAGAACAAGAUCAGCUGCCUCAUUCACUGUUGCAUCUGGUACCUAACCCAUUGACCAACACAGAGUAGGCCCUCAAUCAGUAUUGGUCUAAUGAAUGAAGAAGGGUAAUAAACUUACACUUCUAGUUUCUGUCUCCCUCAGGCUCUUGAAAGAGUCCUGUUUUGAGGUUAGGGAAUGUAACUUUCCUUUAGAUGGGUAGCUAAGGAUUAAAUAAGCCAGCCUUAUUGACAAGCACACUGUGACCAUGUUUUCAGUUCUAGUAAGCAUUCUUGCAUCAUUCCUAGUUAAUACACUUCUGCCUUUGAGUUUGGUUCCUCUGGCAGCUCCAGGGGACAUGAGCCCUGCAAUGGGACCUGGUCCUCUUAACUGAGUCCCUGUCACCCUCACUGCAUGCCUGUGGGGGCAGUUCUGUUCUCAACAUUCCAUCCUUGAACAUCUUUGUGCAGCCCAAGCCCAUGCUCCCUAAUGCCCUGACCUCAUUCUUACGCUUGCCUCCCACUGGGGCCUUGCAGGGAUCCUCCAUAUGUUAGAGAGUCCAGCUUCUGAAUCCACACCCCCUUCCCCAUGCAAGGGUGUCAACAUGCUGCUGAGCUCCAGAGGGACCAGGCCACAGUCUAGGAUGUCCUCAGAAUCACCUCAGGCAGAACCACUGAUGUCCAGGUUCUUAUGUUCCAUGAAGAUCAUUGGGGGAAUGGGUAGGGACAGAAAGGCAGGAGAGAAGCAGAGUGGAGAGCCCCAGGAAAGUGGCUAGUGCUUCUCAAGUUCCCAAACCCUGUCUGAAGAGAAGAUGCUAUUACAGUGGGAGGGGCUGAUCCAGCUGAGAGCUGUGUGUGCAUGUAUUGGUUGGAGAGGGUGUAACAUACCUUAUUUGUGUUCUUAUCCCCAACACUUGCCACAGAGCCUGCCACAGGUACUCCGUAGAUGUUAUGGAAUGGCAUGAACACAUUCCAGCCUGAGCUGUGUCCCUAACAACCUGUGUGAUGUUGAACUAGUCAAUUUACCUCCGGCCCUCAAUUUUCCCAUCUGCUAAGUGUAGCUCAAAGUGGCUCUUAUACUAUUAUUUCAAGGAUGAAAAAAUUUAAUGCAUUGGGGGAUGUGACAUCAGUAAACGCCAAUAUUUUUUAACAUGUCUUCCAAUUAGUAGCAAGUUUUAAAUUCAUGAUAUGAAUUUUUAUCUAUAUAGAUGACACACAUGUUCUAUUAUAUAUUUACAUGGUAUAUAUAUAUAUAUUUUUUUUUCUUUCUUUACCUUUUAUUUUUUUUUCUACUGUACUGCAUGAUGACCCAGUUACACUUACAUGUAUACAUUCUUUUUUGUCCCAUCAUCAUGCUCCAUCAUAAGUGACCAGACAUUGUUCCCAGUGCUACACAGCAGGAUCUCAUUGCUAAUCCAUUCCAAAGUCAAUAGUUUGAAUCUAUUAACCCCAAACUCCCAAUCCACCACACUCCCUCCCCCUUUCCCUUGGCAACCACAAGUCUUUUCUCCAAGUCCAUGAUUUUCUUUUCUGUGGAAAGGUUCAUUUGUGCCAUAUAUUAGAUUCCAGAUAUAAAUGAUAUCAUAUGGGAUUUGUCUUUCUCUUUCUGACAUUUCACUCAGGAUGAGAGUCUCGAGUUCCAUCCUCGUUGCUGUAAAUAGCAUUAUUUUGCUUUUUUUAUGGCUGACUAGUAUUCCAUUGUGUAUAUAUACCACAUCUUCCUAAUCAAAUCAUCUGUCCAUGGACAUUUGGGUUGUUUCCAUGAAUGCUGAGCNGGGGGGUAAUCUUGUAUACCUAGGGAUGUUUAUCUUAAUUUGGAGACCAUGACUUUAAAGUUGGUUGAGAUAAGAUCAUGAAAUUCUCUCACAACAUUUCUGACACCAAAUGCAUGGUAGCUUUUCCACCACCACUUCCAUCCUUUGACACCAGCUUGGUAUCCUACAAUUCCAUCCCAUUUGGACUCCCUGUCUACCUGGCGUUAGCAUCACAUCCCAUAAGUUAAGGGCUUAGUCCCACAAGACUGCCUCCACUUCGGUGACAGACACAAGCCCAAGAUUGUCACUUCUGACCAACCUAUCAGCUAUAAAUUCAGGAGUUCCCACCACCCCCUCCUUAGGUUUGAUGUUUGCUAGAAUGACUGACAAAACUCAGGAAAGUACUUUACUUCCUGUUACUGGCUUAUUAUAAAGGUUACAACUCAGGAACAGCCAAAUAGAGGAGAUGCAUAGGUACGGCAUAGGGGAUGGACAUGCAGCUUCCAUGCCCCCUCUAGGUAUGACGACAUCCUAGCACCUUGAUACGUUCACCUGGAAACUCUCCAAACCCCACUGUAUAGUGUUUUUAUGGAGGUUUUAUGACAUAGGCAUGACUGAUUAAGUCAUUAGCCACUGGUGAUUGAAACAGUUCUAACCACUUUCCCCUCCCCAGAGGUGAUAGUGGCAGGGGUAAGGGGUGGGGUGGGGUAGGGUGGGCAGUACAGCUGCAAGGUCCAAACCCCUGAUUACAUGGUUGGUUCCUCUGGUAACCAGACCCAUCCUGAAGCUAUGGGAGGCCCAUGAAGAGUCAUCUCAUUAUUGUAAACUCAGGUAAGGUUGAAAGUGUCUUGUUAUGAAUAACAAAAGACACUCCUAUCUCUAACACUCAGGAAAUUCUGAGGGUUUUAGAAGCUCUGUGUCAGGAACCAGGGACAAAGACCAAAUCUAUAUUUCUUUAAAAAUUUUUUUUUAUUUGUAUGAUUUUUAUUUUUCCAUUACAGUCAAUUCACAGUGUUCUGUCAAUUUCUACUGUACAGCAAAGUGACCCCAUCAUACAUAUAUAUACACACAUAGUCUUUUUCUCACAUUAUCCUCCAUCAUGUUCCAUCACAAGUGACUAGAUAUAGUUCCCUGUGCUAUACAGCAGGAUCUCAUUACAAAUCUAUACUUAUUGUAUCACAGACAUCUAGGAAUUGCUCUUUUUAUUAGCAUUUUAGUGGCUAAAAAGUAAUGCCUGUUGCCCAGUGAUAUUUGUUCAGUAAAGCAUAUCGUCACCAUGGUGAAAAUGCACUCCGCUUUGCCCUCCCUGUUGGAUUCAGUAAAGUUACUUUUAUAUUAAAUUUUAAAGUGCUAAUCAUAAGCAUUUGCAUUUUUCCUGAGUUGGCUCUCAAGCAGAAAAUGUUGUUCACCACUAGUUUAAUGUCACUAGUAGCCACAUGUGUUUCUUGGCGAUGUAAAUUCUUAGGCUUGUUAAGGCAAAAUACUCUCUAGGGUACUCUAAACAGAUGUUGUGGAGGCAUUACCCUCAUUACAGAGAAAACUUUGCUCUUCUUGCUCCAUCAGAGGAGUUACCUUGGCAAUAAGCUGGGUCGCUUAUUCCUUCAUUGAACCAAGACUUAUUGAGUGCCGGGCACAGGGCUAGUCCUUGGAAGUAAAAGGUUAAACAAGAGCGAUGUGGUUUUUACCUUCAUGGAGUUGACACACUAACUGGGGUGAAAGACAACAAUAACAACAAAGCAAUGGAACAAUUACAGGUAGGGUGACUCCAGGCUGGGAGUCCUCUCAGUGUUGAGACAAUGCCCAGAUGGAGAGGAAAGCAGAGACCAUAUGAUGCAGGAAGGCAGGAAUCAUGUCAUGGCUUACCUUUUGAAGUCAUGGUAAGGACCUAUUUAUUUUAAGUGCAAUACAGGGUCAUUGAAGGGCAGGGGAGGCUGUAUGUAGGAAGUAUGCUGUGAAUGAUGAGAAGCAAGCAUGGAAUUGGGGAUCCUAUACUUGUCAGUAGGUUUAGUGGCUAUGGGUCAACCUCAAGCACGUUGCAGAAAUGUAAAUUAAGGAGUUCCCAUUGUGGCUUAAUGGUAACAAACCUGAUUAAUAUCCAUGAGGGCACGGGUUUGAUCCCUGACCCCACUCAGUGGGUUAAGGAUCUGGCGUUGCUGUGAGCUGCGGUGUAGGUUGCAGACAUGGGUUGAAUCCUGAGUUGCUGUGGCUAUGGGGCAGGCUGGCAGCUAGAGCUCUGAUUUGACCCCUAGCCUAGGAACUCUCAUAUGCCACAGGUGUGGCCCUGAAAAAAAAAAAAA
rnacentral:lncRNA from 1 species